UACGUAGGGUGCAAGCGUUAAUCGGAAUUACUGGGCGUAAAGCGUGCGCAGGCGGUUUUAUAAGUCAGAUGUGAAAUCCCCCGGCUCAACCUUGGACCUGCAUUUGUGACUGUAUAGCUAGAGUACGGUAGAGGGGGAUGGAAUUCCGCGUGUAGCAGUGAAAUGCGUAGAUAUGCGGAGGAACACCGAUGGCGAAGGCAAUCACCUGGACCAGUACUGACGCUCAUGCACGAAAGCGUGGGGAGCAAACAGG
rnacentral:rRNA from 1 species